rnacentral:rRNA from 1 species
AACGGAGUAGCAAUACUUAGUCGCGGACGGGUGAGUAACGCGUAAGAAUCUAGCUUCAGGUUCGGGACAACAAUUGGAAACGAUUGCUAAUACCGGAUAUGCCUACGGGUAAAAGGCUUGCUGCCUGAAGAAGAGCUUGCGUCCGAUUAGCUAGUUGGUGGGGUAAAGGCUUACCAAGGCGGCGAUCGGUAGCUGGUCUGAGAGGAUGACCAGGCACACUGGGACUGAGACAAUGCCCAGACUCCUACGGGAGGCAGCAGUGGGGCAUUUUCCGCAAUGGGCGAACGCCUGACGGAGCAAUACCGCGUGAGGGAAGAAGGCUCUUGGGUUG